CCCUUAGAUGUCCGGGGUCGCACGCGCGCUACACUGAAGGAAUCAGCGUGGCUUUCUCCCUGACCCGAAAGGGUUGGGAAACCCGUUGAAUCUCCUUCGUGAUAGGGAUUGGGGCUUGAAAUUGUUCCCCAUGAACGAGGAAUUCCCAGUAAGCGCGAGUCAUAAGCUCGCGUUGAUUACGUCCCUGCCCUUUGUACACACCGCCCGUCGCUACUACCGAUUGAACGGUUUAGUGAGGGCCUCGGAUUGGUCUCGGCCCGCUCUUUACCGGGCGGCGCCGUUGGUCGAGAAGACGCUCGAACUUGAUCGUUUAGAGGAAGUAAAAGUCGUAACA
rnacentral:rRNA from 1 species